rnacentral:antisense_RNA from 1 species
UCAAUGGUGGGCCGGACGGGGGCACCGUAAGGUGCGUCGGUUCCCUGUAACACCGGUAGUUCCAGCCCCGUUCAGUGCACUACC